rnacentral:rRNA from 1 species
UACGGAGGGUGCGAGCGUUGUUCGGAAUCACUGGGCGUAAAGCGCGUGUAGGCGGCUUCUUAAGUCUGGUGUGAAAGCCCGGGGCUUACCCCCGGAAGGGCACUGGAGACUGGGAAGCUAGAGUACCGGAGAGGAGGGUGGAAUUCCUGGUGUAGCGGUGAAAUGCGUAGAUAUCAGGAGGAACACCGGUGGCGAAGGCGGCCCUCUGGACGGAUACUGACGCUGAGACGCGAAAGCGUGGGGAGCAAACAGG